CGUAAGGCGCCGAAUGAGUCAUUAAAAAAUUAACAUCAUCUGAUCCCUAGUCGGCAUAGUUUAUGGUUAAGACUACGACGGUAUCUGAUCGUCUUCGAUCCCCUAACUUUCGUUCUUGAUUAAUGAAAACAUCCUUGGCAAAAUGCUUUUCGCAGUAGUUAGUCUUCAAUAAAUCCAAAGAAUUUCACCUCUGACAAUUGAAUACUAAUGCCCCCAAUAUCCCUAUUAAUCAUUACGCCAAUCCUAGAAGCCAACAAAAUAAGAUCGAACGUCCUAUUUCAUUAUUCCAUGCUAAUGUAUUCAAAGCGUUAGCUUGCUUUAAACACCCUUAAUUUUUUCAAAG
rnacentral:rRNA from 1 species